AUUGUUGUGUGGUUAUAAAAUGGUUUGCAUUUAUUAUGUAUUUAUUACGAUGUGUAGUUUAAUAUAUUUUGAUUUAAGUUUAUCCCUUCCUAUUGAACUUUAUAUCAGUAAGAUGUAUAAAUCGACCUAAAUUAAGUGCUCCAAGUCCAAGUGAAAUAUUACAUAGCCUAAUUCUGGACAUCUUGCCAAUUUUUCUGGAGGCAGAAAAAUUAAGGAUUUGUAGGAAUGGGUUGGUUACUUCUUGAAGACACUACCAGAAAGCAUGACACAGUAGGAGAUAGGAGAAAUUUGAAAAUUAAUCAUUAGUUAAUUAUAUGGUCAAUGCAGUGGGUGUUAUUGUGUUUAUUGCGCUUUUAUGAAAAAAAGCAAGUAGUCUACAUGCCCUCCUUCUCGUGCAACCUUUCCUGUUUUCUUUUCCAAUUCGGAUCAAGCUGUAGUUAAUAAAGUAAGCAAACAAUAAUGGGAGAAAUCGUUACGGCCAGCACGAUGUAAUUGGCGAUUUUGUAGGUUUCUUCACUAAGACCUACGCGAGCGGAUUCCACCAUAAAAAACAGGAACGUCUGUAAUACAGUCAGUUAAGCUUCGAUUACGUUUCUACAUUUAUCAGGGUGGUGAUUAUUAUGUAAUGUGAGCAUAACACCUAACACCCCAAACAACUACUAAAAUUCAACUACCAUUCCCAAACGUUUGUAUUUUACGAAAACUUGUUUUAUCGUUUAGCGUAAGUUCUUUUUGCCAUUGUAAGUAUAAUGUGUUGCCUACCGCAUGGACUUCAGCAGUACAAGUUUCUGAUGUAUUUUAUAAUAAAUAUUUUAGUUUAUUGAUACGUUUAUGCGU